CCUUCCACCGCUUUUACAUUGGUUUAAGCAAUAUCCGAAGAGCUCGCGAUAAACAGGGGAACGGUCUCCAAUGGUGAUAUGUAGCUGCAGCAGAUGAUAUAGCCUGCAUCAUGGAAGAAAAAUGAAUGUAGUCACGGAUUGCAAAAACGAUGUCUAGUCUUGCGUUCAAAUGUAUCAUUGAAUGAAGCCUGCAUUUACUGUAUGAAUUCGAUAUUUACAGCUGAGGCAAUUUAGCUGCUAGCUAGGUCAAGUAAGCUCGAUGCUAAUUCGUUUAUUAGCCAGUGGAUGUUAGGAAUCAGGCUAGCUGACGCUAACUAGCAUGCUAGUUAACCAAUCCCGCCCAUCCAAAAUAAUAGUGGAACUUCGGCGUGUAUCUUCAGCGCGGUUAUCAAUGCCUUUUUGAAGAAAGAAGAAAUAGCUAAGCCAGUUAGCUAUCUAGCAAGCAUAUGAGAAGGUAUUGCAUUGAGAUUUCACCCAAUUUCCUCCACUUGAAGAAAACUGAACUGGCUGAGAUGGAUGAACAAAGUGUUGAGGUGUGGUCCAUUUUGCACAUCAGUACCUGUCAACAGUUUGGACACAUACUCAUUCAAGGGUUUUUCUUUAUUUGCACUAUUUUCUACAGUGUAGAAUAAUAGUGAAGACAUCAACACUGAAAUAACACAUGGAAUCAUAGUAACAAAUAAGUGUCAAACAAAUCAAAAUAGAGUUUAGAUUCUUCAAAGUAGCCACCCUUUGCCUUGAUGACAGCUUUGUGCACUCUUAGCAUUCCCUCAACCAGCUUCAUGAGGGAUGCUUUUCCAACAGUCUUGAAGGAGUUGGCUGCUUUCCUUCACUCUGCGGUCAAACUCAUCCCAAACCAUCUCAAUUGUGUUGAGGUCAGGUGAUUGUGGAGGCCAGCUCAUCUGAUGCAGCACUCCAUCACUCUCCUUCUUGGUCAAAUAGUCCUUACACAGCCUGGAGGUGUGUUGGGUCAUUGUCCUGUUGAAAAGCAAAUGAUACUCCUACUAAGCGCAAACCAGAUGGGAUGGUGUAUUGCUGCAGAAUGCUGUGGUUGCCAUGCUGGUUAAGUGUGCCUGGAAUUCUAAAUAAAUCACUGACUGUGUCACCAGCAAAACACCCCACAUCAUCACACCUCCAUGUUUCACUGUGGGAACCACACAUGUGGAGAUCAUCCGUUAACCUUCUCUGCGUCUCACAAAGACAGCGGUUGGAACCAAAAAUCUCAAAUUUGGACUCAUCAGACCAAAGGACAGAUUUCCACAGGUCUGAUGUCCAUUGCUUGUGUGUCUUGGCCCAAGCAAGUCUCUUCUUCGUAUUGGUGUCCUUUUAGUAGUGAUUAAUUUGCAGUAAUUCUACCAUGAAGGCCUGGUUUCAUG
rnacentral:lncRNA from 1 species